GCCCAGGGAAUGCCACUAAGAGUUGCCCCCAGCAAGGAUUGCCUGUCUUGAUUUCAAUCUUCAGAAGACAAAUGAAAUUGGGUAUCCAAGUUUUAGUCACUGAUCCACGGGAGCUUGAAAAGAUUUGUCAGAGUGCUUUGUGGAGGCCGGUGCAAUUGCAGUGAGACGUGUUCGGAAAGUGGAUAUCCGACAAGUUGCCAAGGCAACAGGUGCAACUGUGGUUUCAUCAUUUGCUGAUAUGGAAGGAGAGGAAACAUUUGAUUCAUCACUUCUUGGACAUGCAGAUGAAGUAGUUGAGGAGUGCAUUGCUGAUGAUGACGUGAUCAUGAUAAAUGGGACAAAAA